rnacentral:rRNA from 1 species
CGACCGGCGCACGGGUGAGUAACGCGUAUGUAAUCUACCUGUAACAGAGGGAUAACCCGGAGAAAUCCGGACUAAUACCUCAUAGCACAUAUUAUUCGCAUGUAAUUUUAUGUUAAAGAGACUCGGUUACAGAUGAACAUGCGUUCCAUUAGCUAGUUGGCGGGGUACGGCCCACCAAGGCAACGAUGGGUAGGGGUUCUGAGAGGAAGGUCCCCCACACUGGUACUGAGACACGGACCAG